AGCGAACGCUGGCGGCAGGCCUAACACAUGCAAGUCGAACGAACUCUUCGGAGUCAGUGGCGGACGGGUGAGUAACACGUGGGAACGUGCCUUUUGGCUCGGAAUAACUCAGGGAAACUUGUGCUAAUACCGAAUGUGCCCUUCUGGGGAAAGAUUUAUCGCCAUUAGAGCGGCCCGCGUCUUAUUAGCCGGUCGGUGAGGUAACGGCGCACCAAGGCGUCGAUCAGUAGCUGGUCUGAGAGGAUGACCAGCCACACUGGGACUGAGACACGGCCCAGACUCCUACGGGAGGCAGCAGUGGGGAAUCUUGCGCAAUGGGCGAAAGCCUGACGCAGCCAUGCCGGGUGAAUGAUGAAGGUCUUAGGAUAGUAAAAUUCUUUCACCGGGGACGGUAAUGACGGUACCCGGAGAAGAAGCCCCGGCUAACUUCGUG
rnacentral:rRNA from 1 species